UCAAACUCCUAUCACUCACAUCUCUCAUACUCUCAAACACAUACCACCUUCACCAUCAAUAUCAUCAUCUUGUUUAUCUAAACAAUUUCUAAGUUUUUCAAUCUCCUCCAAUUUCGUGUAAUCUUAAUGCGGUUAAUUCAAAUCCUUGUGAAAUCUCCUUGAGGAUCUGUAGAUCUCCAUUCUAGAGCUUGAGCUAGAAAGAACAGGGCAUAAGGUCUGGGAACUAUCAAACCGAUUUUGUGAAGUUCAAGAUCCGAAAAACCAUUCUUAUUAGAGAAGAUUGAGAAGGAACUUACUUAUCAACCAUGGUUCGAUGAAUUAUAUUUCCCAGAGAAAUCUGAGAGGGGAAUGGAUAGAAGUUAAGUCUCAAUUUCAUUACGGUGUGACGGUGAUUUCCAACUAAUAUGUGAAGUUGGUCCAUCAAGUUCGACAAAAAGUUCUUCUAUUCAAGUGGAAAUUAUAGCAAUGAAAAAUAAAGCCCAAGUUAAGCUCACAUCUUUCAUUUAUGUCAUAUGCUUUUUUGUGGCUUUAAACAAGACAAUGAUUCAUUACUAAAAGUGUUGAUAGGUGAACUACAAUCAAAGGCGGCGACUCUGGUGGAUCCAAAUUCUAAACUUGGAGAGACUCGGACAUGACGGGAAAAAGGAAAGAUAUAUAUAUAUAUAUAUAUAUAUAUAUAUAUAUAUAGUGCAGUUCCUUCUUAAGGAACCAAGGUCAAUAUGCUUCCUAAUAAUAAAUUCACUUAGAUAGAACUAGCUCGUAGAUAUCUAUGGUGGCCUUGUCUUAUUGAUGAAUGAUCACUUGGGUUUUCAGAAAUUACCUUUGUUUUUGGGAAUUGAAAAUAAUGGUAAUUUUCAAAGACAAAGGCAUCUUCUGAAGACUCAAUGUUACCAUCCAUUGAUAAGAAUGUCUAGAUAUAUCUAAGAUCUUGUUCUGGCUCAGUCAAUUCAUUUAUAGUAAGAAUAUUGGCAUUGGUUCAUUUAGCAAGAACUGCAUUAUCCAUAUCUUUCCUUCUUCCCCUUCUUGUUCCAGCUUCUUCAGGUUCAGAAUUUAGAUCCACCUGAGAAGACACCUUUGAUAUUUAGUUCACCUAUUAGCACUCUUGGUAAUAAAUUACGACCCUUGGUCAAAGCCACACCAAAGCAUCUGAUAUAGGUGAAAGAUAUAAGCUUAACAUGGGGUUCCUCUUUCAUAACUUUUAUAUGCCCUUGAAUAAAAUAACUUUAUGCCGAACCUGAUAGCUUAACUUGGGCUUCCAUUGUAAUGGUUGAUAAUUUUUUUCCAUAUUGUGGGGAAAUAUUGUACGGAUGCUGUCAAAAAGGCACCUGGUUCAUUGUGUGAUCACUAUCUCUAUUGUAAGAGUUUAAUGUUACUUCUAUUGCAAUAGUUGAUAUUUUUUUCUCUUUUAA